rnacentral:rRNA from 1 species
ACCCCAGGCGUCUUCGACAACCAUGGUGAAGGCCAUCCGCCCCCAGGCACCGUAACUUCGGGAGAAGGUGCGCCGGCUAGGGUGAAGGAUUUACUCCGUAAGCUCUGGCUGGUCGAAGAUACCAGGCCGCUGCGACUGUUUAUUAAAAACACAGCACUCUGCAAACACGAAA